rnacentral:lncRNA from 10 species
AACUCAUCUUCCAUUACCUUUGCCAUAUAUUUCCUAGUCACUUUUUUCCCCAUGAUUCAUUAUUUCUCAAAGCUCAAAGCCCCUUUCCUUUGUUAAAAUGGUAUAUAAGGCCCUGAGUCUAACCACUUCAGUUUUACUUUUUUCCUGUAAACUCGUGUGCACACAAACAUUAAUAAAAAUUGUAUGCCUUUUCUCCCAUUCCCCUGUCUUUUGUUACUUUAAUUCGCAGACCCCCAGGAACAAAAUAUAACAGAGUAGUGUAAAAGUUUGUCCUCUCCAGCAAUCUCAUGGCAAAAAGGCUCGAAAGCACAACUGUGCAAACACAUUUGAAGACGUCCAUCAUGUCACUUCCACUGAGAUCCCACUGGCGAAAGCAAGUCACAUGGGGCGCGGUGGCUCACACCUGUAAUCUCAGCACCUUGGGAGGCUGAAGCAGGCAGAUCACUUAAGGCCAGAAGUUCAAGACCAGCCUGGGCAAAAUGGAGAAACCCCAUCUCGACUAAAAAAUACAAAAAUUAGCCGGGCAUGGUGGUGCAUGCCUGUAAUCCCAGCUACUCAGGAGGCUGAGGCAGAGAAUUUCUUGAACCCAGAAGAUGGAG